CCUACGGGAGGCAGCAGUAGGGAAUCUUCCACAAUGGGCGAAAGCCUGAUGGAGCAACGCCGCGUGGGUGAAGAAGGUCUUCGGAUCGUAAAACUCUGUUGUUAGAGAAGAAAGUGCGUGAGAGUAACUGUUCACGUUUCGACGGUAUCUAACCAGAAAGCCACGGCUAACUACGUGCCAGCAGCCGCGGUAAUACGUAGGUGGCAAGCGUUAUCCGGAUUUAUUGGGCGUAAAGGGAACGCAGGCGGUUUUUUAAGUCUGAUGUGAAAGCCUUCGGCUUAACCGGAGUAGUGCAUUGGAAACUGGGGGACUUGAGUGCAGAAGAGGAGAGUGGAACUCCAUGUGUAGCGGUGAAAUGCGUAGAUAUAUGGAAGAACACCAGUGGCGAAGGCGGCUCUCUGGUCUGUAACUGACGCUGAGGUUCGAAAGCGUGGGUAGCAAACAGGAUUAGAUACCCGGGUAGUC
rnacentral:rRNA from 1 species